GAGUUUGAUCCUGGCUCAGGAUGAACGCUGACAGAAUGCUUAACACAUGCAAGUCAACUUGAACUUCGGUUUGGGUGGCGGACGGGUGAGUAACGCGUAAAGAACUUGCCUCACAGCUAGGGACAACAUUUGGAAACGAAUGCUAAUACCUGAUAUUAUGAUUUUAGGGCAUCCUAGAAUUAUGAAAGCUAUAUGCGCUGUGAGAGAGCUUUGCGUCCCAUUAGCUAGUUGGAGAGGUAACGGCUCACCAAGGCGAUGAUGGGUAGCCGGCCUGAGAGGGUGAUCGGCCACAAGGGGACUGAGACACGGCCCUUACUCCUACGGGAGGCAGCAGUGGGGAAUAUUGGACAAUGGACCAAGAGUCUGAUCCAGCAAUUCUGUGUGCACGAUGAAGUUUUUCGGAAUGUAAAGUGCUUUCAGUUGGGAAGAAAAAAAUGACGGUACCAACAGAAGAAGUGACGGCUAAAUACGUGCCAGCAGCCGCGGUAAUACGUAUGUCACAAGCGUUAUCCGGAUUUAUUGGGCGUAAAGCGCGUCUAGGUGGUUAUGUAAGUCUGAUGUGAAAAUGCAGGGCUCAACUCUGUAUUGCGUUGGAAACUGUGUAACUAGAGUACUGGAGAGGUAAGCGGAACUACAAGUGUAGAGGUGAAAUUCGUAGAUAUUUGUAGGAAUGCCGAUGGGGAAGCCAGCUUACUGGACAGAUACUGACGCUGAAGCGCGAAAGCGUGGGUAGCAAACAGGAUUAGAUACCCUGGUAGUCCACGCC
rnacentral:rRNA from 1 species